AGAGUUUGAUCCUGGCUCAGGAUGACGCUAGCGGCAGCCUUAACACAUGCAAGUCGAGGGGCAGCCACAGAAAUAGCUUGCUAUUUGGGUGGCGACCGGCGCACGGGUGUGUAACGCGUAUGCAACCUACCUUAUACUGGGGUAUAGCCCGGAGAAAUUCGGAUUAAUCCCCCAUGGUAUUAUUGGAUCGCAUGGUUUGAUAAUUAAAGGUCACGGUAUAAGAUGGGCAUGCGUCCUAUUAGCUAGAUGGCAAGGUAACGGCUUACCAUGGCGACGAUAGGUAGGGGGCCUGAGAGGGUGGUCCCCCACACUGGUACUGAGACACGGACCAGACUCCUACGGGAGGCAGCAGUGAGGAAUAUUGGUCAAUGGGCGCAAGCCUGAACCAGCCAUGCCGCGUGCAGGAAGAAUGCCCUAUGGGUUGUAAACUGCUUUUAUUUAGGAAUAAACUCUUGUACGUGUACAAGCCUGAAGGUACUAAAUGAAUAAGCACCGGCUAACUCCGUGCCAGCAGCCGCGGUAAUACGGAGGGUGCAAGCGUUAUCCGGAAUCAUUGGGUUUAAAGGGUCCGCAGGCGGAUUUAUAAGUCAGUGGUGAAAUCCCAUCGCUUAACAAUGGAACUGCCAUUGAUACUGUAGGUCUUGAAUUAGGUCGAAGUGGGCGGAAUGUGUAGUGUAGCGGUGAAAUGCAUAGAUAUUACACAGAACACCGAUAGCGAAGGCAGCUCACUAGGCCUGGAUUGACGCUCAGGGACGAAAGCGUGGGGAUCAAACAGGAUUAGAUACCCUGGUAGUCCACGCUGUAAACGAUGAUUACUCGUUUUCGGCGAUAUACAGUCGGAGACUAAGCGAAAGUGAUAAGUAAUCCACCUGGGGAGUACGAUCGCAAGGUUGAAACUCAAAGGAAUUGACGG
rnacentral:rRNA from 1 species